CGCGUUGGUGACCUGCCCUGAAGUGGGGGAUACCGGAUCGAAAGGUCCGCUAAUACCGCAUGAGAUCUCGCUAGUUAGAGAGGCGAGAAGAAAGCCGAAAGGCGCUUUAGGAGGGACCUGCGUCCCAUCAGCUAGUUGGUAAGGUAGUGGCUUACCAAGGCGAUGACGGGUAGGGGACCUGAGAGGGUGGCCCCCCACAAUGGAACUGAAACACGGUCCAUACACCUACGGGUGGCAGCAGUAGGGAAUAUUGGUUAAUGGGCGAAAGCCUGACCCAGCAACGCCGCGUGAACGAUGAAGGCCUUCGGGUUGUAAAGUUCUUUUGGCAGGGAUGAGGAAGGACAGUACCUGUCGAAUAAGUCUCGGCUAACUACGU
rnacentral:rRNA from 1 species